GACGAACGCUGGCGGCGUGCCUAACACAUGCAAGUCGAGCGAGUGAAUUUCCUUUGGGAUUGAAGCUAGCGGCGGACGGGUGAGUAACACGUGGGCAACCUGCCUCAUAGAGGGGAAUAGCCUUUCGAAAGGAAGAUUAAUACCGCAUAAGAUUGUAGCUUCGCAUGAAGUAGCAAUUAAAGGAGCAAUCCGCUAUGAGAUGGGCCCGCGGCGCAUUAGCUAGUUGGUGAGGUAACGGCUCACCAAGGCGACGAUGCGUAGCCGACCUGAGAGGGUGAUCGGCCACAUUGGGACUGAGACACGGCCCAGACUCCUACGGGAGGCAGCAGUGGGGAAUAUUGCACAAUGGGGGAAACCCUGAUGCAGCAACGCCGCGUGAGUGAUGACGGCCUUCGGGUUGUAAAGCUCUGUCUUCAGGGACGAUAAUGACGGUACCUGAGGAGGAAGCCACGGCUAACUACGUGCCAGCCGCCGCCGUAA
rnacentral:rRNA from 1 species